CCUACGGGAGGCAGCAGUGAGGAAUAUUGGUCAAUGGGCGGAAGCCUGAACCAGCCAAGUAGCGUGCGGGAUGAAGGCCCUACGGGUCGUAAACCGCUUUUGCACGGGGAUAACACCCUCCACUUGUGGAGGUCUGCAGGUACCGUGCGAAUAAGGGCCGGCUAAUUCCGUGCCAGCAGCCGUGGUAAUACGGAAGGCCCGGUCGUUAUCCGGAUUCAUUGUGCUUAAAGGGAGCGUAGGCGGGCGUUCAAGUCAGCUGUAAAAUCGCUGGGCUCAACCGCGCCCCGCAGUUGACACUGGACGCGUUGAGUUCACGACAGGCAGGCGGAAUUCGUGGUGUAGCGGUGAAAUGCAUAGAUAUCACGAGGAACCCCGAUUGCGAAGGCAGCCUGCCGGGGUGCGACUGACGCUGAGGCUCGAAGGUGCGGGUAUCAAACAGGAUUAGAUACCCGGGUAGUC
rnacentral:rRNA from 1 species